CUCAGUAGCAUUGGAAACACAAUAGCACAGAAACAGACAAGUACCUUGCCCUCUUGGAGAAAAACAAUGCAAAUUCCCCAAAGCAUAAGUGUGCUGAAGACAAUGAGAAGGAUGGGGCUUAAAGGAUCAAGAAAGAGAAACAGUAUUAAAGAGGCAGAAGGUAUCCAAGCUCCCCUCCAGAUACAUAAAGUAGCAACAUGGAGUGCCCAAUCCUGGACACAAAAGCCCAGUAUGAACAGGUCCCCACAAGAGAUGACCCACCAUGUAGGAAACAGCUUCAUGAGUAGCCUUAGCCUUGUCUUCUAUACUACCCUCUUCCAGAUGACCUUCUGACACCAAUUUGUCUCCCUCAGUCCCAUAACCCUACUCAGACACCCUAAUAGGAGGUACCUGUCACAGGGGAACAUCCAGAAAGAAGUAGGUUAGAGCCUAGCAACAGGAAAUUCUUAUCAGCCAGUCUCCAUUAGGGGCUAAACCUAUUAAGAUUGACCAAAGUGAAUCAGCCAGUAAACUCUUGUGUAACACACCCUUGGCUUCAGCCAGGCACCUACGUGUUGCUAGUGAAUCCCAGGAACCGUGAAAACAGUCUUCAGGCUGUCUCUCCAGCCAGUGUAGUUGUAAUGAGGGGAGAAUCAGCUGCUAUGUGGUCAGAUAUAAAUCUCCAUCCCACUGCACAGGCUUGGGCAAGUCCCUUCAUUGACCUAUUUUCUCAUAUGCUCAACAGUGGGAGACAAGGACAUCAGCUUUGCCUUCUCCAGACAGAUGAGGUGAGAUUGGGAAGGGCUAAUAGGCUUGCAGGGGCCCUGGAGAGACCAGCACAUCAUAAAGUCACCCACAUCCACAUUCUCUGGUAGAACCUGCCUCAAACUAGUUACCAACUCCUGGACGCAGGCAGGCAGGCAGGCAGGCAGGCAGGCAGGCAGGCAGGCAGGCAGGCAGGCAAGCUAGCUGGCCAGGUUACCUACUCCAAGAAUUGAGUAGUUUCAUCUUUCAAGCUUUCCUUCAUAGCUCUUGCUUUAAGUUUUGUAUUGUUUCUUAUGGAAGCACAUCACCACCAUCUUUGGAGAGACUCUGGCUAGUGAAGACCCAGAUUCUACUCUUGUGUUCAGCUUUUGGGCAGCAUUUCAAAGCCCAACUUUCACCAAUCUCUUUUGGGGGGGGGGGCUGAAUCGAAAAUAGGAGUUAAGUAGACCCUAAGGGCCUGGCCAAUUCUGAGCCAAAUCUUCUGACACAGUUCUGGCACCAGCUAGGCUGUCUGUGGUCAGCAGUGAGUCUCAGACAUUGUGAAGGUGAGGUGGGUGGUGUUUAGCUUCUUGGAGUGAACACUGAGCUGCUCUCCUUACAUCGUCAUUUGCCUUCUAAGAGCAAUCUCUCUCUCUCUCUCUCUCUCUCUCUCUCUCUCUCUCUCUCUCUCUCUCUCUGUCAGCUCCUGGCCACAGGCGUUGUCAUUGAGUUGUUCUCCUCCAGGAUACUCAUCUAAGAGCUAAGUCUAUGGUGUUAGCUGUGAGGAAACAGUUACCAAUGUAAUUCACCUCAGAGUCAAAGCGUAGGACACUCCCCUCCACACAAACGCACACCUCUUCAGGGCGAUUCUUUAAAAAAGAAAAAUCAAUGAAUCUUUUCUUCUCAUAGAAAAUUGGCACCAAGUUUUCUCUCCCCGCCCCGCCCCAAAGCCAGCAUAUAAUAUGAACGGAGAGCUGAUGUGAGGCAUGCAGCUGCUAAAAGCUGUCAGCACAGGGCUUUCUGACUACUCAGGAGCUUUCCUCAGCCUUCUGGUAACUGGCAUGUCCUGGUCAUGUUUGCUGCUGCUGCUGCCGCUGCUUCUGUUUUAAUGUGUUUGCUUUCCAUUUGGCAGAGAGACAAGCGAGACACCUCCAACUUCGACAAAGAGUUCACCAGGCAGCCUGUGGAACUGACUCCCACUGACAAACUCUUCAUCAUGAACUUGGACCAAAAUGAAUUUGCUGGCUUCUCGUAUACUAACCCAGAGUUUGUCAUUAAUGUGUAGGUGAAUGCAGAUUCCAUCGCUGAGCCUGUGUGUAAGGCUGCAGGCUGAAUGUCUAUUAUCAAUUCCAGUCUUCCAGGAUUCAUGGUGCCUCUGUUGGCAUCCGUCAUGUGGAGAGCUUGUCUUAGAGGGCUUUUCUUUGUAUGUAUAGCUUGCUAGUUUGUUUUCUACAUUUCAAAAUGUUUAGUUUAGAAUAAGUGCAUUGCCCACUGAUAGAGGUACAAUUUUCCAGACUUCCAGAAACUCAUCCAAUGAACCAACAGUGUCAAAACUUAACUGUGUCCGAUACCAAAAUGCUUCAGUAUUUGUAAUUUUUAAAGUCAGAUGCUGAUGUUCCUGGUCAAAGUUUUUAC
rnacentral:lncRNA from 1 species